UACGGGGGGGGCAAGCGUUGUUCGGAAUUACUGGGCGUAAAGGGUUCGUAGGCGGCCAACUAAGUCGGAUGUGAAAUCCCCAGGCUCAACCUGGGAACUGCAUCCGAUACUGGAUGGCUUGAAUUCGGGAGAGGGAUGCAGAAUUCCAGGUGUAGCGGUGAAAUGCGUAGAUAUCUGGAGGAAUACCGGUGGCGAAGGCGGCAUCCUGGACCGACAUUGACGCUGAGGAGCGAAAGCCAGGGGAGCAAACGGG
rnacentral:rRNA from 1 species